rnacentral:rRNA from 1 species
GUAAGAUCCCUGAAAGAUGAUCAGGUUGAUAGGUCAGAGGUGGAAGCGUGGUGACAUGUGGAGCUGACUGAUACUAAUAGAUCGAGGACUUAACCAA